UGGCAGGUAAGGGACCGUUAUUCUCCUGU
rnacentral:piRNA from 1 species